CAAUGGGUAUUUUAUAAAAAUAUUAAUUUUGGAGAUUAAAGAAGAAGUUUUACUUUUCCGUUGA
rnacentral:tRNA from 1 species